AAAUUUUUUUCGGACGGGUCAGUAACGCGUGAGAAUCUACCUUCAGGUCGGGGAUAACCCCUGGAAACGGGGGCUAAUACCGGAUAGGUCGAAAGAUGAAAGGUUAACUGCCUGAAGAGGGGCUCGCGUCUGAUUAGCUAGUAGGUGUGGUAAGAGCGCACCUAGGCGACGAUCAGUAGCUGGUCUGAGAGGAUGAGCAGCCACACUGGGACUGAGACACGGCCCAGACUCCUACGGGAGGCAGCAGUGGGGAAUUUUCCGCAAUGGGCGAAAGCCUGACGGAGCAAGACCGCGUGGGGGAGGAAGGCCUUUGGGUUGUAAACCCCUUUUGUUAGGGAAGAAAAAAAUGACGGUACCUAACGAAUCAGCCUCGGCUAACUCCGUGCCAGCAGCCGCGGUAAUACGGAGGAGGCAAGCGUUAUCCGGAAUUAUUGGGCGUAAAGCGUCCGUAGGUGGCCCGGCAAGUCUGCUGUCAAAGACCACAGCUCAACUGUGGAAAGGCAGUGGAAACUGCAAGGCUAGAGUGCGGUAGGGGUAGAGGGAAUUCCCAGUGUAGCGGUGAAAUGCGUAGAGAUUGGGAAGAACACCGGUGGCGAAAGCGCUCUCCUGGGCCGCAACUGACAUUGAUGCACGAAGGCUUGAAGUCC
rnacentral:rRNA from 1 species